CCUACGGGAGGCAGCAGUGAGGAAUAUUGGUCAAUGGGCUUACGCCUGAACCAGCCAAGUCGCGUGAGUGAAGACUGCCCUAGGGGUUUUAAACCUCUUUUGUCAGGGAGCAAGUGUCGCUACUUGUAGCGUUAUCGAGAGUACCUGAAGAAAAAGCAUCGGCUAACUCCGUGCCAGCGGCCGCGGUAAUACGGAGGAUGCGAGCGUUAUCCGGAUUUAUUGUGUUUAAAGGGUGCGUAGGCGGGAUGCCAAGUCAGCGGUAAAAUCGCGGGGCUCAACCUCGCUACGCCGUUGAAACUGGCGAUCUUGAGUGGGCGAGAAGUGUGUGGAAUGCGAGGUGUAGCGGUGAAAUGCAUAGAGAUCAAGCAGAACUCCGGUUGCGAAGGCAGCACACCGGCGAACAACUGACGCUGAGGCACGAAAGCGUGGGUAUCGAACAGGAUUAGAUACCCGAGUAGUC
rnacentral:rRNA from 1 species